GGUUUGAUCACUCUGGCUCAGAUUGAACGCUGGCGGGAUGCUUUACACAUGCAAGUCGAACGGCAGCACGGACUUCGGUCUGGUGGCGAGUGGCGAACGGGUGAUGAUAACCUCAGGAGCGGUAACUAAGUAGCAGGGGAUAACUACGCAGAAAGCGUAGCUAAUACACAUACGCCCUUCGGGGAAAGCGGGGGGCCUUCGGGCCUCGCACUAUUAGAGCGGCCGAUAUCGGAUUAACUAGUUGGUGAAGAACAACGGCUCGCAAGGCGACGAUCCGUAGCUGGUUUGAGAGGACGACCAGCCACACUGGGACCGAGACGGCCAGACUUCCUACGGGAGGUGACAGUGGGGAAUUUUGGACAAUGGGGAAGCGCAGUCCAGCCAUCCCGCGUGUGCGUGAGGCCAGCUGGGUUGUAAACACUUUUGGCAGGAAAGAAACGGCACGGGAUAAUACCCCGUGCAACUGACGGUACCUGCAGAAUAAGCACCGGCUAACUACGUGCCAGCUUGACCGCGGUAAUACGUAGGGUGCAAGCGGCAAUCGGAAUUACUGGGCGUAAAGCGUGCGCAGGCGGUUCGGAAGAAAGAUGUGAAAUCCCAGAGCUUAACUUUGGAACUGCAUUUUUAACUACCGAGCUAGAGUGUGUCAGAGGGAGAGUGGAAUUCCACGUGUAGCAGUGAAAUGCGUAGAUAUGCGGAAGGAGGAACACCGAUGGCGAAGGCAGCCUCCUGGGAUAACACUGACGCUCAUGCACGAAAGCGUGGGAGCAAGGCAAGUUGAAUACCCUGGUAGUCCACGCCCUAAACGAUGUCAACUAGCUGUUGGGGCCUUCGGGCCUUGGUAGCGCAACUAACGCGUGAAGUUGACCGCCUGGGGGAAUUACGGUCAUAAGAUUAAAACUCAAAAGGAAUUGACGGGGACCCGCACAAGCGAAGACGGAUGAUGUGGAUUAAUUCGAUGCAACGCGAAAAACCUUACCUACCCUUGACAUGUCUGGAAUCCCGAAGAGAUUUGGGAGUGCUCGCAAAGAGAACCGGAACACAGGUGCUGCAUGGCUGUCGUCAGCUCAUUGUCGUGAGAUGUUGGGUUAAGUCCCGCAACGAGCGCAACCCUUGUCAUUAGUUGCUACGAAGGGCACUCUAAUGAGACUGCCGGUGACAAACCGGAGGAAGGUGGGGACAGCGUCAAGUCCUCGCAUGGCCCUUAUGGGUGGGGCCACACGUCAUACAAUGGUCGGGACAGAGGGUCGCCAACCCGCGAGGCCAAUCGAAACCCGAUCGUAGUCCGGAUCGCAGUCUGCAACUCGACUGCGUGAAGUCGGAAUCGCUAGUAAUCGCGGAUCAGCAUGUCGCGGUGAAUACGUUCCCGGGUCUUGUACACACCGCCCGUCACACCAUGGGAGUGGGUUUACCAGAAGUAGUUAGCCUAACCGUAAGGAGGGCGAUUACCACGGUAGGAUUCAUGACUGGGGGUGAAGUCGUAACAAAAGGUAG
rnacentral:rRNA from 1 species